rnacentral:lncRNA from 1 species
UUUGAUUUGAAUUUUGUAUAGAAAUAAUUAAAAUUGAGAAAAAUGAAUGCAAAAGAUAAAAUAAAAAUUGAAAACAAAUAAAUUUUGUUUUGUACUUCUGUAAUAAAUGAGAUUAACUUAUUUAGUAAAUAUAAUAGAUGAAGGGUUAGAAUUGAUUAACAAUAUAAUAAAAAUCUUUUAAAAAAUCAAUUAAGAAAAGCAAGUAUUAUUUUCUACUGUUAUUCAUGCUUCCAAACAAUUCUCAUUUAUACUACUAUCCAUGUUUCCAAACAAUUCUCAUUUAUACUACUAUCCAAGUUUCCAAACAACUCUCAAAUGUACUUCAGUUUUAAUAAUAUAGAUUAUCUUAACAAUCCACUUAAGAACCCAUCAAUAAAGAUGCUCUAAGAACAUGAGCAGUGGGUGUCUCUCAUCCCAUUUCUCAUCGUCAAAAUAAUAUUAAAAAAAAUUAGAAAAGAAAAAAAGAAGCAAGAAAAAGGAGAAAGACGUAACUCCAAGAAGAAACUUCCAACAGUAGUUUGAGAUCAUUUUUUCAAACAUCAUCUCAAUGGUCCAAUUUUAAGAAACUUAAACUUCAUUUAAAUUACUUAAUAAUAAUAAUAUAAUAUGUGUAAAAUAGUUAAGGUAGAUACUCUACCACUAAAAGAUGUUCUAAUGGAGAAAAGAGGACAUUACAUGAUCGUUUUCCUUUGGUUGUCAUUUUCUGUUUAUUCAUCAUAAACAUCCCCACAAAAAAUAAAACAAAAAAAUCGUAAGCAUUUUCAUGUUUAUAAAUUAGGCUCAGCUUUAAUCAUUCAAACAUAAUCAGGCUGUCUUAAUCAUGACUUGUUGUUAUCAUCCCCCUCGUUUGUAUAUUACCC